UACGUAGGGUGCGAGCGUUGUCCGGAAUUAUUGGGCGUAAAGGGCUCGUAGGCGGUCUGUUGCGUCAGGAGUGAAAACUCGGGGCUUAACCCCGAGCCUGCUUCUGAUACGGGCAGACUAGAGGUAUGCAGGGGAGAACGGAAUUCCUGGUGUAGCGGUGAAAUGCGCAGAUAUCAGGAGGAACACCGGUGGCGAGGGCGGUUCUCUGGGCAUUACCUGACGCUGAGGAGCGAAAGCGUGGGGAGCGAACAGG
rnacentral:rRNA from 1 species